GGUUAAGCGACUAAGCGUACACGGUGGAUGCCCUGGCAGUCAGAGGCGAUGAAGGACGUGCUAAUCUGCGAUAAGCGUCGGUAAGGUGAUAUGAACCGUUAUAACCGGCGAUUUCCGAAUGGGGAAACCCAGUGUGAUUCGUCACACUAUCAUUAACUGAAUCCAUAGGUUAAUGAGGCGAACCGGGGGAACUGAAACAUCUAAGUACCCCGAGGAAAAGAAAUCAACCGAGAUUCCCCCAGUAGCGGCGAGCGAACGGGGAGCAGCCCAGAGCCUGAAUCAGUGUGUGUGUUAGUGGAAGCGUCUGGAAAGGCGCGCGAUACAGGGUGACAGCCCCGUACACAAAAAUGCACAUGCUGUGAGCUCGAUGAGUAGGGCGGGACACGUGGUAUCCUGUCUGAAUAUGGGGGGACCAUCCUCCAAGGCUAAAUACUCCUGACUGACCGAUAGUGAACCAGUACCGUGAGGGAAAGGCGAAAAGAACCCCGGCGAGGGGAGUGAAAAAGAACCUGAAACCGUGUACGUACAAGCAGUGGGAGCACGCUUAGGCGUGUGACUGCGUACCUUUUGUAUAAUGGGUCAGCGACUUAUAUUCUGUAGCAAGGUUAACCGAAUAGGGGAGCCGAAGGGAAACCGAGUCUUAACUGGGCGUUAAGUUGCAGGGUAUAGACCCGAAACCCGGUGAUCUAGCCAUGGGCAGGUUGAAGGUUGGGUAACACUAACUGGAGGACCGAACCGACUAAUGUUGAAAAAUUAGCGGAUGACUUGUGGCUGGGGGUGAAAGGCCAAUCAAACCGGGAGAUAGCUGGUUCUCCCCGAAAGCUAUUUAGGUAGCGCCUCGUGAAUUCAUCUCCGGGGGUAGAGCACUGUUUCGGCAAGGGGGUCAUCCCGACUUACCAACCCGAUGCAAACUGCGAAUACCGGAGAAUGUUAUCACGGGAGACACACGGCGGGUGCUAACGUCCGUCGUGAAGAGGGAAACAACCCAGACCGCCAGCUAAGGUCCCAAAGUCAUGGUUAAGUGGGAAACGAUGUGGGAAGGCCCAGACAGCCAGGAUGUUGGCUUAGAAGCAGCCAUCAUUUAAAGAAAGCGUAAUAGCUCACUGGUCGAGUCGGCCUGCGCGGAAGAUGUAACGGGGCUAAACCAUGCACCGAAGCUGCGGCAGCGACACUAUGUGUUGUUGGGUAGGGGAGCGUUCUGUAAGCCUGCGAAGGUGUGCUGUGAGGCAUGCUGGAGGUAUCAGAAGUGCGAAUGCUGACAUAAGUAACGAUAAAGCGGGUGAAAAGCCCGCUCGCCGGAAGACCAAGGGUUCCUGUCCAACGUUAAUCGGGGCAGGGUGAGUCGACCCCUAAGGCGAGGCCGAAAGGCGUAGUCGAUGGGAAACAGGUUAAUAUUCCUGUACUUGGUGUUACUGCGAAGGGGGGACGGAGAAGGCUAUGUUGGCCGGGCGACGGUUGUCCCGGUUUAAGCGUGUAGGCUGGUUUUCCAGGCAAAUCCGGAAAAUCAAGGCUGAGGCGUGAUGACGAGGCACUACGGUGCUGAAGCAACAAAUGCCCUGCUUCCAGGAAAAGCCUCUAAGCAUCAGGUAACAUCAAAUCGUACCCCAAACCGACACAGGUGGUCAGGUAGAGAAUACCAAGGCGCUUGAGAGAACUCGGGUGAAGGAACUAGGCAAAAUGGUGCCGUAACUUCGGGAGAAGGCACGCUGAUAUGUAGGUGAAGUCCCUCGCGGAUGGAGCUGAAAUCAGUCGAAGAUACCAGCUGGCUGCAACUGUUUAUUAAAAACACAGCACUGUGCAAACACGAAAGUGGACGUAUACGGUGUGACGCCUGCCCGGUGCCGGAAGGUUAAUUGAUGGGGUCAGCGCAAGCGAAGCUCUUGAUCGAAGCCCCGGUAAACGGCGGCCGUAACUAUAACGGUCCUAAGGUAGCGAAAUUCCUUGUCGGGUAAGUUCCGACCUGCACGAAUGGCGUAAUGAUGGCCAGGCUGUCUCCACCCGAGACUCAGUGAAAUUGAACUCGCUGUGAAGAUGCAGUGUACCCGCGGCAAGACGGAAAGACCCCGUGAACCUUUACUAUAGCUUGACACUGAACAUUGAGCCUUGAUGUGUAGGAUAGGUGGGAGGCUUGGAAGUGUGGACGCCAGUCUGCAUGGAGCCGACCUUGAAAUACCACCCUUUAAUGUUUGAUGUUCUAACGUGGACCCGUGAUCCGGGUUGCGGACAGUGUCUGGUGGGUAGUUUGACUGGGGCGGUCUCCUCCUAAAGAGUAACGGAGGAGCACGAAGGUUGGCUAAUCCUGGUCGGACAUCAGGAGGUUAGUGCAAUGGCAUAAGCCAGCUUGACUGCGAGCGUGACGGCGCGAGCAGGUGCGAAAGCAGGUCAUAGUGAUCCGGUGGUUCUGAAUGGAAGGGCCAUCGCUCAACGGAUAAAAGGUACUCCGGGGAUAACAGGCUGAUACCGCCCAAGAGUUCAUAUCGACGGCGGUGUUUGGCACCUCGAUGUCGGCUCAUCACAUCCUGGGGCUGAAGUAGGUCCCAAGGGUAUGGCUGUUCGCCAUUUAAAGUGGUACGCGAGCUGGGUUUAGAACGUCGUGAGACAGUUCGGUCCCUAUCUGCCGUGGGCGCUGGAGAACUGAGGGGGGCUGCUCCUAGUACGAGAGGACCGGAGUGGACGCAUCACUGGUGUUCGGGUUGUCAUGCCAAUGGCACUGCCCGGUAGCUAAAUGCGGAAGAGAUAAGUGCUGAAAGCAUCUAAGCACGAAACUUGCCCCGAGAUGAGUUCUCCCUGACUCCUUGAGAGUCCUGAAGGAACGUUGAAGACGACGACGUUGAUAGGCCGGGUGUGUAAGCGCAGCGAUGCGUUGAGCUAACCGGUACUAAUGAACCGUGAGGCUUAACCUU
rnacentral:rRNA from 1 species